rnacentral:rRNA from 1 species
GACAUUACUGAUUUGCUUAAUUGCACCACAUGUGUUUUUCUUUGAAACAAACUUGCUUUGGCGGUGGGCCCAGCCUGCCGCCAGAGGUCUAAACUUACAACCAAUUUUUUAUUAACUUGUCACACCAGAUUAUUACUUAAUAGUCAAAACUUUCAACAACGGAUCUCUUGGUUCUCGCAUCGAUGAAGAACGCAGCGAAAUGCGAUACGUAAUAUGAAUUGCAGAUAUUCGUGAAUCAUCGAAUCUUUGAACGCACAUUGCGCCCUCUGGUAUUCCGGAGGGCAUGCCUGUUUGAGCGUCGUUUCUCCCUCAAACCGCUGGGUUUGGUGUUGAGCAAUACGACUUGGGUUUGCUUGAAAGACGGUAGUGGUAAGGCGGGAUCGCUUUGACAAUGGCUUAGGUCUAACCAAAAACAUUGCUUGCGGCGGUAACGUCCACCACGUAUAUCUUCAAACUUUGACCUCAAAUCAGGUAGGACUACCCGCUGAACUUAAGCAU